rnacentral:rRNA from 1 species
GACGAACGCUGGCGGCGUGCCUAAUACAUGCAAGUCGAACGCAGGGGGGACGGGUGAGUAACACGUGGGUAACCUCCCAUCAGAGGGGAUAACACUUGGAAACAGGUGCUAAAACGAUACUGAUGGAUGGACCCGCGGUGCAUUAGCUAGUUGGUGAGGUAACGGCUCACCAAGGCCACGAUGCAUAGCCGACCUGAGAGGGAGAUCGGCCACACUGGGACGUUGACACGGCCCAGACUCCUACGGCAGGCAGCAGUAGGGAAUCUUCGGCAAUGGAGGAAAGUCUGACCGAGCAACGCCGCGUGCGUGACGAAGGUUUUCGGAUCGUAAAACUCUGUUGUUAGAGAAGCGUUAUCUAACCAUAAAGCCACGGCUAACUACGUGCCAGCAGCCGCGGUAAUUC